rnacentral:tRNA from 1 species
GCCCCCGUAGCUCAGUGGACAGAGCAGGAGCCUUCUAAGCUCUUGGUCGAAGGUUCGAAUCCUUCCGGGGGCG